AUUGAACGCUGGCGGCAUGCUUUACACAUGCAAGUCGAACGGUAACAGGCCGCAAGGUGCUGACGAGUGGCGAACGGGUGAGUAAUGCAUCGGAACGUGCCCAGUCGUGGGGGAUAACGCAGCGAAAGCUGCGCUAAUACCGCAUACGAUCUAUGGAUGAAAGCGGGGGACCGAAAGACCUCGCGCGAUUGGAGCGGCCGAUGUCAGAUUAGGUAGUUGGUGGGGUAAAGGCUCACCAAGCCGACGAUCUGUAGCUGGUCUGAGAGGACGACUAGCCACACUGGGACUGAGACACGGCCCAGACUCCUACGGGAGGCAGCAGUGGGGAAUUUUGGACAAUGGGCGCAAGCCUGAUCCAGCAAUGCCGCGUGCAGGAAGAAGGCCUUCGGGUUGUAAACUGCUUUUGUACGGAACGAAAAGGCUCUGGUUAAUAUCUGGGGCUCAUGACGGUACCGUAAGAAUAAGCACCGGCUAACUACGUGCCAGCCGCCGCCGUAAUAC
rnacentral:rRNA from 1 species